rnacentral:rRNA from 1 species
UAAUGUCUGGGAAACUGCCUGAUGGAGGGGGAGUAACUACUGGAAACGGUAGCUAAUACCGCAUAACGUCGCAAGACCAAAGAGGGGGACCUUCGGGCCUCUUGCCAUCAGAUGUGCCCAGAUGGGAUUAGCUAGUAGGUGGGGUAACGGCUCACCUAGGUGACGAUCCCUAGCUGGUCUGAGAGGAUGACCAGCCACACUGGAACUGAGACACGGUCCAGACUCCUACGGGAGGCAGCAUG